ncrna:unclassified sequences NiCo riboswitch
ACAGUACAAACUGAACAGGCCGUGAGUUUUUUCGUAUGGAAAAGCUCUGGGAGCCGGGCCGCUCAGGCGGCAGCAGAUGAACUGACUUAUUUCGUACAUCUGUGGGACAGGA